CAGUCGCCGCGGUAAUACGGAGGGUGCAAGCGUUAUCCGGAUUUAUUGGGUUUAAAGGGUCCGUAGGCGGACUUAUAAGUCAGUGGUGAAAGCCUGUCGCUUAACGAUAGAACUGCCAUUGAUACUGUAAGUCUUGAGUAUAUUUGAGGUAGCUGGAAUAAGUAGUGUAGCGGUGAAAUGCAUAGAUAUUACUUAGAACACCAAUUGUGAAGGCAGGUUACCAAGAUAUAACUGACGCUGAGGGACGAAAGCGUGGGUAGCGAACAGGAUUAGAUACCCGAGUAGUCCCUGUCUCUUAUAC
rnacentral:rRNA from 1 species